UGGCAGGCUAGGCUGGGAGGUUAGCGGUCUCCUGUUACUCCAGAUCCGCUUUACGGGAGAGCUGAAGUUGGGAGAGCGCGAUGCAUGUUGCGUUAAAGCCUAGUGCUGAGCGCUGACUUCCUGUCCUGUUGGAUUCGUAGUACUUGGAACCUGGUCAGGCCUUGACGGGAGCAGCCAUAACAUCUAUUGCGGAUGUCUUCAGGGUAGCAGGAACGAGCAAGGUGCUAGACCACUUUGGUGCAGUGUGCAUUGUCAUUUCCUAACGUGCCUGCCA
rnacentral:SRP_RNA from 1 species